AUUGAACGCUGGCGGAAUGCUUUACACAUGCAAGUCGAACGGUAGAGGGGGCAACCCCUCGAGAGUGGCGAACGGGUGAGUAAUAUAUCGGAACGUGCCACGUCGUGGGGGAUAACGUAGCGAAAGUUACGCUAAUACCGCAUACGAUCUAAGGAUGAAAGCGGGGGAUCGAAAGACCUCGCGCGAUUGGAGCGGCCGAUAUCAGAUUAGGUAGUGGGUGGGGUAAAGGCUCACCAAGCCAACGAUCUGUAGCUGGUCUGAGAGGGCGACCAGCCACACUGGAACUGAGACACGGUCCAGACUCCUACGGGAGGCAGCAGUGGGGAAUUUUGGACAAUGGACGCAAGUCUGAUCCAGCCAUUCCGCGUGCAGGAUGAAGGCCCUCGGGUUGUAAACUGCUUUUGUACGGAACGAAAAGGUCUCUCUUAAUACGGGGGACUCAUGACGGUACCGUAAGAAUAAGCACCGGCUAACUACGUGCCAGCAGCCGCAGUAA
rnacentral:rRNA from 1 species